rnacentral:rRNA from 1 species
AUUGAACGCUGGCGGCAGGCCUAACACAUGCAAGUCGAACGGUAACAGGAAGAAGCUUGCUUCUUUGCUGACGAGUGGCGGACGGGUGAGUAAUGUCUGGGAAACUGCCUGAUGGAGGGGGAUAACUACUGGAAACGGUAGCUAAUACCGCAUAACGUCGCAAGACCAAAGAGGGGGACCUUCGGGCCUCUUGCCAUCGGAUGUGCCCAGAUGGGAUUAGCUAGUAGGUGGGGUAACGGCUCACCUAGGCGACGAUCCCUAGCUGGUCUGAAAGGGUGACCAGCCACUCUGGAACUGAGACACGGUCCAGACUCCUACGGGAGGCAGCAGUGGGGAAUAUUGCACAAUGGGCGCAAGCCUGAUGCAGCCAUGCCGCGUGUAUGAAGAAGGCCUUCGGGUUGUAAAGUACUUUCAGCGGGGAGGAAGGGAGUAAAGUUAAUACCUUGGCUCAUUGACGUUACCCGCAGAAGAAGCACCGGCUAACUCCGUG